rnacentral:rRNA from 1 species
GACAGAGGGUGCAAACGUUGCUCGGAAUCACUGGGCGUAAAGGGCGUGUAGGCGGGACGGUAAGUCGGGCGUGAAAUCCCUAGGCUCAACCUAGGAACUGCACUCGAAACUACCAUUCUUGAGUGUCGGAGAGGAAAGCGGAAUUCCUGGUGUAGAGGUGAAAUUCGUAGAUAUCAGGAGGAACACCAGUGGCGAAGGCGGCUUUCUGGACGAUAACUGACGCUGAGACGCGAAAGCGUGGGGAGCAAACAGG